AUGGCGUAUGCAAGUGAUGAGAGUAUGUUCGAGUAUGUAAAUGUUGUUAGCAAGAUGUUUGAUAGUGAGGCUGAAGGCUAUGAAUUCUACAACAAAUAUGCUCUUGAAAAAUGUUUUAGUGUGAGGAAAAGCUACGUUGAGUGGGAUGGAUCCAACAAAUACAUAAUUUUAAGGAAAAUUGUGUGUAGUCGUCAAGGGUUUCGUGAAGAGAAGCACAUGAAAAGAAAGAUGGAAGAUAGAAAGAGGAGGCCACGAAGUUUAACUCGUGUUGGGUGUAAUGCUAAAUUGGUAAUUACGAGACAGGAGGAAACCGGUCGGUGGUUUGUCAAGGAUUUCAUCGAUGAGCACAGCCAUCCUCUAGCCCCACGGGAUCUUUCUUGUCUGCUGCGUUCGCACAGACGAAUUAGCGAUGAGCAGAAAGCGGACAUGGAAAAAUAUGGGAUCCGCAAAUAUCGUAUUAUGGAUAUUUUGUGCUUUUAA
rnacentral:rRNA from 1 species